AGCUCCAGCAGGCAGAGUUCAUAUGAAAGGAGGCCAGGUCCAGCCUGCCCCCAUACUGGUUUUUCCUAAGGUUUUUUUUAAGGACAACGCUUCUUUUCCAGGCACUAAGAGGAAAUUGCAGCUUAUUUAAUAACUUUUGAAAAGCAUGAGGAAUGGCUAACGACUUCCCCUAAAACAAGACCGCAGAAUGGAUCUAUGAUCCUGUAUAAUAGGAAGAAGGUGAAAUACAGGAAAGACGGAUAUUGCUGGAAAAAGAGGAAAGAUGGAAAAACCACUAGAGAAGAUCACAUGAAACUGAAGGUUCAGGGA